rnacentral:rRNA from 1 species
UACAGAGGGUGCGAGCGUUAAUCGGAAUUACUGGGCGUAAAGCGCGCGUAGGCGGCUCUGCAAGCCGGAUGUGAAAUCCCCGGGCUCAACCUGGGAACUGCAUUCGGGACUGCAUUGCUAGAGUAUGGGAGAGGGAAGUGGAAUUUCAGGUGUAGCGGUGAAAUGCGUAGAUAUCUGAAGGAACAUCAGUGGCGAAAGCGACUUCCUGGACCAAUACUGACGCUCAUGUGCGAAAGCGUGGGGAGCAAACAGG